rnacentral:lncRNA from 1 species
GCCUGGGAGAGUAAGCGACAGACGCUGUGAGAAAGGGGAGUUGAGCUCCUUCCUUCGGAAAACACUGCAAUGGGAUCUCAUCAGGCAGCUCUGAGAGUAGAGGGGUCCUCAACAGUCGUGCCAGGACAGCGUGUGCCUAGGAACUGCUCUUGGGGACUCUCACAGGCGCCCUGCACUGCCCCUGCUGUGCGUGUCUCCUGUUGCCUGGGAAGCUAAAGGGACUGUGGUCCAGGCCUGCCAUUGGCUCCCAAGAACCCCGCCUCCUGGUGACACCCCCUCCUCUUGAGUGUGGGUGAGACCUGAAGACUCACUUUUACCAAAUGGAAUAUGGAAAAGAUGUGGCCUCUGAGGUUGUUAUAAAACAACUGUGACUUCAUGGGGCUCUCCGUCCCUCACUCUCUGCAAAUCUCUCACUCUGGGGCAACAGGCUCCCCCCCCGUGAGCUGCCCCGUGGAGAAGCCCAUGAGGCAUGGAACCCAGAACCUAAGACCUGCCAGCGCCCCCUGUGUAAGCCUGGACGCCAUCCUCCCGAGUCGGGCCUGGAGAGGGCCCCAGCCCCAGCCCCAGACCCAGCCGACGCUCUGAAUGACACCCCACGAAAGGCCUUGAGUGAGAGAACGCAGAGAUGGAGUUUCACUCUUAUGCCCAGGCUGGAGUGAGUGGUGCGAUCUCGGCUCACUGCAACCUUUCCGGCUCACUGCAACCUCUGUCCCCCAGGUUCAAGCGAUUCUCCUGCUUCAGCCUCCCA